rnacentral:tRNA from 2 species
GCGGGUGUGGCGGAAUUGGCAGACGCACUAGACUUAGGAUCUAGCGGUUUAUCCGUGGGGGUUCAAGUCCCUCCACCCGCACCA